GACGAACGCUGGCGGCGUGCUUAACACAUGCAAGUCGAACGGAAACGCCCUGUCUUUGUGGGGUGCUCGAGUUGCGGCCGGGGAAGCUACACGUAGGUACCCUGUCCCUCACUUUAGGGUAUCCUCAGGCAACUGGGUGUAAUCCCGGCAAGGAGUUCCUGCCGUUUGGUGGGGGUUGGUAAGUUUCGGCGGUUGGGGAUGGACUCGCGGCUUAUCGGCUUGUUGGUGGGGUAGUGGCUUACCAUGGUUUUGACGGGUAGCAGACCGGGGAGGGUCACCUGCCACAUUGGGACUGAAAUACGGCCCAGACUCCUACGGGAGGCAGCGGUGGGGAAUAUUGCACAAGGGGCGGAAGCCUAAUGCAGCAACGCCACGUGCGGGAUGACGGCCUGCGGGUUGUGAUCCGCUUUCGCCUGUGACGAAGCGUGAGUGACAGUAAUGGGUAAAGAAGCACCGGCUAACUACGUG
rnacentral:rRNA from 1 species